rnacentral:rRNA from 1 species
UCGCCUGUGAAGUCUGCUCCUUUGACGUUAGCGGCGGACGGGUGAGUAACACGUGGGUAACCUACCUAUAAGACUGGGAUAACUUCGGGAAACCGGAGCUAAUACCGGAUAACAUUUGGAACCGCAUGGUUCUAAAGUGAAAGAUGGUUUUGCUAUCACUAAUAGAUGGACCCGCGCCCUAUUAGCUAGUUGGUAAGGUAACGGCUUACCAAGGCGACGAUACGUAGCCGACCUGAGAGAGUGAUCGUCCACACUGGAACUGAGACACGGUCCAGACUCCUACGGGAGGCAGCAGUAGGGAAUCUUCCGCAAUGGGCGAAAGCCUGACGGAGCAACGGCGCGUGAGUGAUGAAGCGUUUCGGCUCGUAAAACUCUGAUAUUAGGGAAGAUCAAAUGUGUAAGUAACUGUGCACGUCUUGACGGUACCUAACCAGAAAGCCACGGCUAACUACGUGCCAGCAGCCGCGGUAAUACGUAGGUGGCAAGCGUUAUCCGGAAUUAUUGGGCGUAAAGCGCGCUUAGGCGGUUUCUUAAGUCUGAUGUGAAAGCCCACGGCUCAACCGUGGCGGGUCAUUGGAAACUGGGAAACUUGAGUGCAGAAGAGGACAGUGGAAUUCCAUGAGUAGCGGUGACAUGCGCAGAGAUAUGGAGGAACACCAGUGGCGAAGGCGACUUUCUGGUCUGUAACUGACGCUGAUGUGCGAAAGCGUGGGGAUCAAACAGGAUUAGAUACCUUGGUAGUCCACGCCGUAAUCGAUGAGUGCUAAGUGUUAGGGGGUUUCCGCCCCUUAGUGCUGCACCUAACGCAUUAAGCACUCCGCCUGGGGAGUACGACCGCAAGGUUGAAACUCAAAGAAAUUGACGGGGACCCGCACAAGCGGUAGAGCAUGUGGUUUAAUUCGAAGCAACGCGAAGAACCUUACCAAAUCUUGACAUCCUUUGAAAACUCUAGAGAUAGAGCCUUCCCCUCCGAGGGACAAAGUGACUGGUGGUGCAUGGUUGUCGUCAGCUCGUGUCGUGAGAUGUUAGGUUAAGUCCCGCAACGAGCGCUACCCUUAAGCUUAGUUGCCAUCAUUAACUUGGGCACUCUAGGUUGACUGCCGGUGACAAACCGGAGGAAGGUGGGGAUGACGUCAAAUCAUCAUGCCCCUUAUGAUCUGGGCUACACACGUGGUACAAUGGAUGAUACAAAGGACAGCUAAACCGCGAGGUCAUGCAAAUCCCAUAAAGUUGUCCUCAGUUCGGAUUGUAGUCUGCAACUCCACUACAUGAAGCUAGAAUCGCUAGUACUCGUAGAUCAGCGUGCUACGGUGAAUACGUUCCCGGGUCUUGUACACACCGACCGUCACACCACGAGAGUUUGUAACACCCGAAGCCGGUGUUGUAACCAUUUAUGGAGCUAGCCGUCGAAGCUGGGACAAAUGAUUGAUAACGC